rnacentral:rRNA from 1 species
AUUGAACGCUGGCGGCAGGCCUAACACAUGCAAGUCGAACGAGUGGCGGACGGGUGAGUAAUGUCUGGGAAACUGCCUGAUGGAGGGGGAUAACUACUGGAAACGGUAGCUAAUACCGCAUACCAUCAGAUGUGCCCAGAUUGGGUUAGCUGGUUGGUGGGGUAACGGCUCACCAUGGCGGCGAUCCCUAGCUGGUCUGAGGGGAUGACCAGCCACACUGUGACUGAGACACGGGCCAGACCCCUACGGGAGGCAGCAGUGGGGAAUAUUGCACAAUGGGCGCAAGGCUGAUGCAGCCAUGCCGCGUGUAUGAAGAAGGCCUUCGGGUUGUAAAGUACUUUCAGCGGGGAGGCGUUACCCGAAGAAGAAGCACCGGCUAACUCCGUGCCAGCAGCCGCGGUAAUUC